GACGAACGCUGGCGGCGUGCUUAACACAUGCAAGUCGAACGGAAAGGCCCUGCUUUUGUGGGGUGCUCGAGUGGCGAACGGGUGAGUAACACGUGAGUAACCUGCCCUUGACUUUGGGAUAACUUCAGGAAACUGGGGCUAAUACCGGAUAGGAGCUCCUGCUGCAUGGUGGGGGUUGGAAAGUUUCGGCGGGUGGGGAUGGACUCGCGGCUUAUCAGCUUGUUGGUGGGGUAGUGGCUUACCAAGGCUUUGACGGGUAGCCGGCCUGAGAGGGUGACCGGCCACAUUGGGACUGAGAUACGGCCCAGACUGCUACGGGAGGCAGCAGUGGGGAAUAUUGCACAAUGGGCGGAAGCCUGAUGCAGCAACGCCGCGUGCGGGAUGACGGCCUUCGGGUUGUAAACCGCUUUCGCCUGUGACGAAGCGUGAGUGACGGUAAUGGGUAAAGAAGCACCGGCUAACUACGUG
rnacentral:rRNA from 1 species